rnacentral:rRNA from 1 species
GAGUUUGAUCAUGGCUCAGGACGAACGCUGGCGGCGUGCUUAACACAUGCAAGUGGUGCGACGAACCAGGCUUCGGCCUGGGGCAAAGCCGCGAACGGGUGAGUAACACGUGGGUAAUCUGCCCCGAUGACCGGGACAACCCGAGGAAACUCGGGCUAAUACCGGAUGAUGAGCCUUGGCGUAAGCCUUGUCUCUAAAGGAAGCUUCGGCCUCCGCAUUGGGAGGAGCCCGCGGCCCAUUAGCUUGUUGGUGGGGUAACGGCCUACCAAGGCAACGAUGGGUAGCUGGUCUGAGAGGACGAUCAGCCACACUGGGACUGAGACACGGCCCAGACUCCUACGGGAGGCAGCAGUGGGGAAUCUUGCGCAAUGCGCGAAAGCGUGACGCAGCAACGCCGCGUGGGGGAAGACGGCCUUCGGUU